rnacentral:rRNA from 1 species
GACGAACGCUGGCGGCGUGCUUAACACAUGCAAGUCGAACGGAAAGGCCCUGCUUUUGUGGGGUGCUCGAGUGGCGAACGGGUGAGUAACACGUGAGUAACCUGCCCUUGACUUUGGGAUAACUUCAGGAAACUGGGGCUAAUACCGGAUAGGAGCUCCUGCUGCAUGGUGGGGGUUGGAAAGUUUCGGCGGUUGGGGAUGGACUCGCGGCUUAUCAGCUUGUUGGUGGGGUAGUGGCUUACCAAGGCUUUGACGGGUAGCCGGCCUGAGAGGGUGACCGGCCACAUUGGGACUGAGAUACGGCCCAGACUCCUACGGGAGGCAGCAGUGGGGAAUAUUGCACAAUGGGCGGAAGCCUGAUGCAGCAACGCCGCGUACGGGAUGACGGCCUUCGGGUUGUAAACCGCUUUCGCCUGUGACGAAGCGUGAGUGACGGUAAUGGGUAAAGAAGCACCGGCUAACUACGUGC